CCUACGGGAGGCAGCAGUAGGGAAUCUUCCACAAUGGACGAAAGUCUGAUGGAGCAACGCCGCGUGAGUGAAGAAGGGUUUCGGCUCGUAAAGCUCUGUUGGUAGUGAAGAAAGAUAGAGGUAGUAACUGGCCUUUAUUUGACGGUAAUUACUUAGAAAGUCACGGCUAACUACGUGCCAGCCGGCGCGGUAAUACGUAGGUAGCAAGCGUUGUCCGGAUUUGUUGGGCGUAAAGCGAGUGCAGGCGGUUCAAUAAGUCUGAUGUUAAAGCCUUCGGCUCAACCGGAGAAUUGCAUCAGAAACUGUUGAACUUGAGUGCAGAAGAGGAGAGUGGAACGCCAUGUGUAGCGGUGGAAUGCGUAGAUAUAUGGAAGAACACCAGUGGCGAAGGCGGCUCUCUGGUCUGCAACUGACGCUGAGGCUCGAAAGCAUGGGUAGCGAACAGGAUUAGAUACCCUGGUAGUC
rnacentral:rRNA from 1 species